rnacentral:rRNA from 1 species
CCUACGGGAGGCAGCAGUGAGGAAUAUUGGUCAAUGGGCGGAAGCCUGAACCAGCCAAGUAGCGUGCAGGAUGACGGCCCUACGGGUUGUCAACUGCUUUUAUACGGGAAUAACGCGCCUUACGUGUAGGGCUUUGCAUGUACCGUAUGAAUAAGGACCGGCUAAUUCCGUGCCAGCAGCCGCGGUAAUACGGAAGGUCCGGGCGUUAUCCGGAUUUAUCGGGGUUAAAGGGAGCGUAGGCGGCAUGUCAAGCGUGCUGUGAAAUGGCCGGGCUCAACCCGUGCCUUGCCGCGCGAACUGGCGUGCUUGAGUCCGCGGAAAGCAGGCGGAAUUCGUCGUGUAGCGGUGAAAUGCUUAGAUAUGACGAAGAACCCCGAUUGCGAAGGCAGCUUGCUGCAGCGGAACUGACGCUGAUGCUCGAAAGCGCGGGUAUCGAACAGGAUUAGAUACCCCAGUAGUC